AGUCACAUUUAAAGUUCUGAAACUGCGUUCAGUAUGCCAUAAUAGUAAUCCAUAUAGCACAUAUCAACUAUAACGGCCAACAAGAACUCGAUUUUGUUUGAUAAACAGAAAGGGAUUGGCAACACAAACCCCUGGGACGAAAGACCAGAAAGGAGAGUGUGGGGCCAACACAAAGUAAUUGAUUGUUUAUGGUCGUACAAUUUAUGUGUGCCACAACAUCGAGGCAGAAGGAGUAGUGGAAAAUAUUGACCAUUUGCUAAACGAUAAUUCAAAAUGUUAAAUCGACAAUUUCAAUUUGAGAACGCGAGAAGUGUGGGGCCUUCCCCAGAGACUGCUGCACUCGGAAACUUCGCACAUGACUCCCUGGCUGUAAAUAUAAACAUAAACUCUCCACUUAAUAAAGGCGAGUGCCCUGCCACGUCCCCAGCCCCUGUCCCAUGCCCCAUGCCCCAACAUUAACCCCAUCUGGCCCCGCUGGAAUCAAUCGAACGUGUAAUAAAAUGCAAUUUUUGCAGCGUCGUCUCCAACUCGGCCGAUAAAACUGACUGCCUGAGUUUUUUUAUUUUUGCUC
ensembl:ncRNA lncRNA:CR45752 long non-coding RNA:CR45752